GGGAUGUGAUGAGUGGUCAAAACUCGCACUAUUUUGGAUGCGUGAUGGGUGUCCGCCCCAAGCCUGGUUACGACAACUUGGGCACUCCCUUCUUUUACCAAUCUGAUCCC
rnacentral:snoRNA from 1 species